ACAAAUGUGCAAUGAACGUGCAAAAACUCUCUUUAUUAGUUGUUGCUGUUUCUUUCUUUGUUCAUUUUUUUUUUUUUUUGAAAAAUAACGACGUCUCUGAGGCGCGAAUUCCGACAGUGAGAGGAACGGCUGGAUACAGGAGACGGGAAGAAACAAGCCGAUUAUGUUCGCGUUAAUUAGGUAGUUGGAAGAUGUAAAAUUCUCAAUUCUGCCAACUGAACAUAUACGAAAUUUAAUGAGGAUGAAUAAUUAGCCGGCAUGGAGGAAACGGACCUUUAUUUGGUGGAGUGGCGACAAGGAGCCAAAAGACGGGUGGCCGGUCUAUGAAGCCUCCAUCAUCAAGCUAGCAGAAAUCCCACCUGGCCUUCUGGCUACAGAGCACUUACUUACCAAGCCCAUGAAAUCGAAUGCAGAUCUUCCUGAUGUGAGAUUUACAUAAAUAUGUCAAAGUCUCAACCUCAUGCUGCCCUCCCCA